rnacentral:lncRNA from 1 species
CGCUACUUUACAGCAAGAUCUCGGAAAGAAUGGGGACCCUGCUGCCCACACAUUGUUAAUAUUAGUUACCUAUCAGCAGCCCUCCCCCUAUGAGGGGCGAUGGAUUUACGCUGUUGCCUGGAGACUGGACUCAAAUAGAGACCUAGAGAGAGCACCCGGGCGCUCACUCUGGAGGGGUUAAGAACGAGUCCUGGAGCGGAUAACUCCUGGAGCAGAUAACAGAGCCGAGUAACCCCAGCAAAGUGAAGCCUCAACUUGAGCUGGAGGGAGACGACAGGAAGAAGGCAGUGUCUGCAGACCCCCUCCCCAGACAGGACUUACCUCCUGCCCCAGCGCUCAGGCUGCCUCCUGCUGGAUUACUAUUUCUCAACAUAUACUUAAAUAUUGUUUUUGUGAUUAAUCACUAUGUUUAAAUUAUGUUUGAUUUGUAGCAAUGAGAAUACAUAAUGCAUAUCAGGCUCUAUUCCCGUAGACGUCGCUCUGGCUCUUUUGUAGGACUUGGCUCUGGCUCUCUCACAGUGAUGUGGCUCUCGCUCUGUCUCUGGACAUUGGUCUCUGUCAGCAACAUGGGCAGUGCUGGGCAGCGACUUGGCAUCUUGGCGUGAGCGUGCUAGGAGCUGUCUGGAGGUUGGUGGCCGGAGAACCCAGAACUGUGAAGAGAGGAGGCACCGGCGCGUGCUCUUUGGUGCUGAAGGACGGCGCGGACAAGCGACUGCUGCCAGCUGGAAUAAACCGGGCCAUGCUUUGAGAAAGAAACUGAUUCUCUAGGACUUAGAUUUUUUUCAACAAAAAAGUCAACAGUGU